GCCCGGUUAGCUCAAUCGGUAGAGCGUGAGACUCUUACUCAAGAGUACACGAAAUCUCAAGGUUGCGGGUUCGACCCCCGCAUCGGGCU
rnacentral:tRNA from 3 species